CAGUAGGGAGUGCUGACUGGGACCAACAGGGACCAACAGGGACCGGUAAGGGAACAAGGCCUGGGACCAGUAAGGGAAUAGAGAAUGGAACUGGAGCCAUUAGGGAAUGCAGACUGGGAUCAGUAGGGAGUAGGGACUGGGAUCAGUAAGAGAAUAGGCACUGGGGCCGGAAGGGAAUAGGGACUGGAACAAAGAAGGGAAUAGAGGCUGGGAUGAGGAAGGAGUUCAGACUGGGACCAGUAGGCAAUAGGGACUGGGACCAGUGAGGAGCCAGUCUGAGACCAGGAUGGGAAUACAGACUGGGAUCAUAAGGAGGAUAAUGUGGGACCGGCAGGGAAUACAGACAAGCAGGGCCACCUCCCCUGGGGACACAGUUGUCCCCGCCAUUCCCCCCAGGCCACCAUCUCCACGAGGGGUGCCACCUCCAUGCCUCACUUUCCCCCCAGUCCCACCAGGCCUCAGAAAUCCUCCCCUCCUGCCCCCAAAUGUCCCAUCAAAACAGCCCC
rnacentral:lncRNA from 1 species